GUAGGGAAUCUUGCGCAAUGGGCGAAAGCCUGACGCAGCGACGCCGCGUGAGGGAUGAAGGCCUUCGGGUUGUAAACCUCUUUCAGCAGGGACGAAGCCUUCGGGUGACGGUACCUGCAGAAGAAGCGCCGGCUAACUACGUGCCAGCAGCCGCGGUAAUACGUAGGGCGCAAGCGUUGUCCGGAAUUAUUGGGCGUAAAGAGCUCGUAGGCGGCUUGUCGCGUCGGAUGUGAAAGCCCGGGGCUUAACCCCGGGUCUGCAUUCGAUACGGGCAGGCUAGAGUGUGGUAGGGGAGAUCGGAAUUCCUGGUGUAGCGGUGAAAUGCGCAGAUAUCAGGAGGAACACCGGUGGCGAAGGCGGAUCUCUGGGCCAUUACUGACGCUGAGGAGCGAAAGCGUGGGGAGCGAA
rnacentral:rRNA from 1 species